rnacentral:rRNA from 1 species
UACAGAGGUCCCAAGCGUUGUUCGGAUUCACUGGGCGUAAAGGGUGCGUAGGCGGUCGGGUAAGUCUGAUGUGAAAUCUCACAGCUUAACUGUGAAACUGCAUUGGAUACUAUCCGACUCGAGGAAUGGAGGGGAGACUGGAAUUCUCGGUGUAGCAGUGAAAUGCGUAGAUAUCGGAAGGAACACCAGUGGCGAAAGCGGCUUCCUGGUCCAGCACCGACGUCAGGCACGAAAGCGUGGGGAGCAAACAGG